UACGUAGGGUGCAAGCAUUGUCCGGAUUUACUGGGCGUAAAGCGUGUGCAGGCGGGUGGUCAAGUGGUGUAUGAAAGCACUGCGCUCAACGCAGUGACCGUAGGCCAGACUGACUAUCUGGAGGGCGAGAGAGGGGCGUGGAAUUCCGGGUGUAGUGGUGAAAUGCGUAGAGAUCCGGAGGAACCCCAGAGGCGAAGGCGGCGCCCUGGCUCGCACCUGACGCUCAGACACGACAGCAUGGGGAGCGAACGGG
rnacentral:rRNA from 1 species